UGUGCAGUUUUGGCCAGGGGACCAAGCUGGAGAUCAAACAUAUUUGGGUUCUGGGUCUGGAUCCUGGUAGCCACCACCCAGGUAGCAAACCCAUUGCUGCAAGGAUGGGUGAUGUAUGUCUCACUCACCUUGUUUCUCAUCUCCCUGGUGUUCCUGUUGUCUUCCUUGUUUGGAUUUGAAUCCUGGAGAGUUCUGUUCUUCGCCUUCGUCACCAUGCUGCUCUACAUUCUCCAUGCCUUCAGCAUCUAUUACCACUGAUGCACAGGCACCAGGCCAAGGGGGAAAUACUCUUUGAAAGCCCUGAUUAUUUCUCCCCGAAAGCAGCUUCCAAUGCUUGCCAUCUGGAUGAUAAACAGAAGAUCCACUAAAACAUCCACAGGAUUAACAGAGCUUCCUUGCAGACUAAGCGAUGACACCACACUUUGGACAUUUAAAUUCACUCUACUGAAUAGGAGGAAGCCUUUAUUUUCCUUUUCCUGGGAAAGUAACUGUCUCUUGGAAUUAUCUGACCGUGAACUUCCUCUUCUAGCAAACUCACAUGAAAGCCCUCACUGUUGAGAAUCCCAGCUCCACUGUCAAGCCUGUUUGGGGAUUUUGCCUCAGCUGUGGGCUUCCCUAGAGUAGGUUCAGGGGAAUACUCAGCCUGAUUAUCUUAAAAUUGAAGAAGUGCCACCAAGGCCUUCAGAUCUAAUGCAGAUCCACAGACCUUGCUCCUGGUACUUGUUCAGCCUGUGCUGGGGAGCCAUGGUCCUGAGUUCCCGGGGAGGCUGGCAGGGUCAAGCCACCCUGCCCACCACCCUCCCACUUCCCCUCCCCUUUCCUCUCCAGCAUUGGGAUCCAAGGAAAAUCUGCAUGAAGCCAAUUUUGAGGGUAGAUUUGUGUGGAAAAUAAAUCAUUAUACAGUAAGACCUGGGGCUUGAGGGGUGGGGAAUGGGGAGGGAAGGGCAUAGCCUGCUCCUCCAUGAGUCUGACAUCUCAGAAACUGUGCAGCUGCCGGACGCCUGGGUCAGGACUCCAAGACCCCACCUCUUAAGGACAAGAAAAUGCCUGGUUCCUCAGAAAAGACCCUCAGGGAAGAAGGUGAAAACAUUACAUCCAAGGAUUCUCCUGCCACAACUGGAUUGGAAGAAAAGGCUGCCGCAUCAUCUCAGCGAGGAGUGAAGGAACCAUGUCCCGGGGACCGCGCUCCUCCACCUGCACUCACCCCCUCACAUUCUCUUAAGCACCCUGUGGCCCUUCGAGGCCUGGCAGAAUGGUGGUGCCCACCGGGUUGGGCCAGGGCUCAACGGGCAAAGUUGUGCACACUAAAAUAUCAAAUCAAGGUGCUUGGUUUUAAAGUAAAUGUUUUUCUAAAGAAAGCUGUGCUCUUCUGCUGACCCAGAUGAGUAGGGCACAGCCCUGUAACUGCACUUGCCUUCUGU
rnacentral:lncRNA from 1 species